rnacentral:tRNA from 1 species
ACCUGGGUUGCUCAGUCGGUUGAGUGUCUGACUUCGGCUCAGGUCAUGAUCUCACGGGUUCGUGAGUUCGAGUCCCACAUCAGGCU